UGGGAAUUUUGGACAAUGGACGCAAGUCUGAUCCAGCCAUGCCGCGUGCGGGAAGAAGGCCUUCGGGUUGUAAACCGCUUUUGUCAGGGAAGAAACGAGUUUCUCUAAUACAGAGACUUAAUGACGGUACCUGAAGAAUAAGCACCGGCUAACUACGUGCCAGCAGCCGCGGUAAUACGUAGGGUGCAAGCGUUAAUCGGAAUUACUGGGCGUAAAGCGUGCGCAGGCGGUUAUGCAAGACAGAGGUGAAAUCCCCGGGCUCAACCUGGGAACUGCCUUUGUGACUGCAUAGCUAGAGUACGGUAGAGGGGGAUGGAAUUCCGCGUGUAGCAGUGAAAUGCGUAGAUAUGCGGAGGGACACCGAUGGCGAAGGCAAUCCCCUGGACCUGUACUGACGCUCAUGCACGAAAGCGUGGGGAGCAAACA
rnacentral:rRNA from 1 species